GACAGAGGUGGCGAGCGUUGUUCGGAAUUACUGGGCUUAAAGGGCGAGUAGGCGGUGGAGCAAGUCUGAGGUGGAAACCUAUGGCUUAACCAUAGAACUGCCUUGGAUACUGUUUCACUUGAGUCAGUGAGGGGAGGGCGGAAUUCCCGGUGUAGCGGUGAAAUGCGUAGAUAUCGGGAGGAAGGCCAGUGGCGAAGGCGGCCCUCUGGCGCUGAACUGACGCUGAGGCGCGAAAGC
rnacentral:rRNA from 1 species